GUUGUAGCUCAGUGGCAGAGCACUUGCCUAGCACUUGUAAGACACUGGGUUCGAUCCUCAGAACCACA
rnacentral:tRNA from 1 species